rnacentral:tRNA from 1 species
GGGUCCGUAGCUCAGUUGGGAGAGCGCAGCAUUCGCAUUGCUGAGGCCGUGAGUUCGACUCUCAUCGGAUCCA